rnacentral:tRNA from 1 species
GGCCGGGUGGCGGAACAGGCAGACGCUGGGGACUUAAAAUCCCCUGACCGCAAGGUCGUACGGGUUCGAUUCCCGUCCUGGCCA